AGAGUGUUCAUGAGAAGAAAUUUACAUGGGAGAAUCUGAUGGGAGGGAGUAUGGAAAUGCUUUAGAUAGAGAAUUCAUAUGUGAAAUUUUCAAAAAAUGUUUAGUUAAUAAUAAUCAGGGAGGCUGGUUGGUAAAGCAUUCUCUUGCAAGCACAAGAAACUGAGUUGAGCCACCAGAACUCAAAAAAGUCAGGUGUGGGUGAUGCGCUUUCCAUUCCCAGUACUGAGGAGGCUGAGGCAGGCUGAUCCCUGGCGCUCGCUGGCCAGUCAGUUUAGUGUCCUUAGUGAAUCUCAGGCCAGUGAAACAAUCUGUUCAAAAACAAAAAGAGGAUGUCAUCUGAGGAAUGGAAACCAAGGUUAUCUUCUGGCCUCCACAUGUGCAUGAACACGUGGACAUAUAUGUGUACCUACACGUAUGAACACACAUACACACAAACACAAAAAAGAUAUAAGAGACACAAAGUUGCUCCUCUUUGUCAUAUAAGAGCAUUAAAAAAGGUGGCUGUGUAGAAGCCAGGAGCCACACACCAGAUCUGUGCCUUGAUCCAGAUCAUCUCAGUCUCUGAAACUGUAAGUAAUAAGUGCAUUUUGGUUAAACUGCCCAGUUUAAAAUAUUCUUCAUAAAGCAACCCAGCCUUGCUGAAAUAAAGAGAGUCUCCACAACAUGAGUUUCCACCUUUAUUCGGGCUACCCAGAAUAUACAAAAGCAAUGCUGUUGUAAGAUCUGAAAGAGUCCUACAAGCCUAAGGACGUGGUCCAGCUAAAAUAAACAGCAAAUACAAUAACACAGCUAACCAAAUACUUAGAGAUGCAAUGUUAAAUAUUUAUUUUAGCCUGUUUCAAGUAAGUAGGUACAGAUUGUUCACAUCCCAAGAGACUCUGUUUCUUAAAAGUUUGUAAGAAAAAAAAAUGAUGUCUAAAAACAAACAGUACAGUGUGUUUAUUUUUUAGGGGAAACUGAAAUCAGGGCUACUGAAAAUAAAACUUGAUCAUUCUAACCGCAAUGCUUGUUUGUAGAAAUGUCUGCAUUUCCGUCCUGAUCAUAAGUAUUCUUAUCUCAGUGAUGUCUAUCGCUGGUGGUUACGACAGUAGUCUGUAAGGUUACAACAGAAUUGAAGAUUCUCUUGCCCAGUAUUGCUACUCUAUAGCUAAUGUCUAGAUCUAUUCACAUGCACAAAUAUUUACCAUUGUGUUAUAGCUGCUUAAAGAUUCAUAGUCACACUAAAUAUGUUUAUAUUCUAGAAGCAAUGCAAUAUGCUAUGUAGCAUUGUUGUAUAAUAAAGUAUACCAUCU
rnacentral:lncRNA from 1 species